UCAAGCUACAAAGAGCACAAGGGGAAUGCCUUGGCACCGAGAGCCGAAGAAGGACGUGACUAACUGCGAUAAGCUACGGGGAGCUGCACAUAUCUCUACUAAUACCUAUGUUGCUUCCCUUUUUUUGGGGGGGAGCAACAUAGAUUGUCUAAACCGAAAGGGUAUUUUUACCGCCUGAACUGAAACAUCUAAGUAGGGCGAGGAAGAAAAAUCAACAGAGAUUCCGUAAGUAGUGGCGAGCGAACGCGGAAGAGGCCAAACCUAAUGUAGUAAUAUGUUAGGGGUUCGGACAGUAUAAUGAAUUGUCGAGAUUUAGCCGAAUGUCAUGGGAAGGGCAAUCAAAGAAGGUGAAAAUCCUGUAGGCGAAAAGUUAAGACAUCAGACUGUAUCCAGAGUACCGCCGGACACGUGAAACCCGGUGGGAAUACGGGGGGACCAUCCUCCAAGCCUAAAUACUACUCGGUGACCGAUAGAGAAGAAGUACUGUGAAGGAAAGGUGAAAAGCACCCCGGAAGGGGAGUGAAAGAGAACCUGAAACCUUGUGUUUACAAGCACCGAAAGUUCAUCAACGAACGAUCGGGUACCUUUUGUAGAAUGGUCCGGCGAGUGAAUGUAACUGGCAAGGUUAAGCACUUAAGGUGUGAAGCCGUAGCGAGAGCGAGUCUGAAAAGGGCGCAUGAAGUCAGUUGUAUUCGACCCGAAACCGGGUGACCUACCCAUGUCCAGGCUGAAGUGCAGGUAAAACUUCAUGGAGGGCCGAACCGACUCCCGUUGAAAUGGUAGCGGAUGAGGUGUGGGUAGCGGAGAAAUUCCAAUCGAACCCGGAGAUAGCUGGUUCUCUCCGAAAUAGCUUUAGGGCUAGCCUUGGAAUAGAUUACUGGAGGUAAAGCACUGAAUUGGCUAGGGGCCGAGAGGUUACUGAACCUUAUCAAACUAAGAAUGCCAGAUAAUCGUUUUCCAGGAGUCAGACAGUGGGAGAUAAGUUUCAUUGUCAAAAGGGAAACAGCCCAGACCUACAGCUAAGGUCCCAAAGUAUAGUUAAGUGGAAAAGGAUGUGGAAUUGCAUAGACAACCAGGAUGUUGGCUUAGAAGCAGCCACUCAUUAAAAGAGUGCGUAAUAGCUCACUGGUCGAGUGAUUCUGCGCCGAAAAUUUAACGGGGCUAAACUAUACACCGAAGCUUAGGAUACCGCAAGGUAUGGUAGGAGAGCGUUCUGUACGGAGUGAAGUCGUAGCGAAAGCGGCGGUGGACUGUACAGAAGUGAGAAUGCCGGAAUAAGUAGCGAGAAUUAAGUGAGAAUCUUAAUGGCCGAAAGUCUAAGGUUUUUGGAGGAAGGUUCGUCCGCUCCAAGUAAGUCGGGAGCUAAGGUCAGGCCGAAAGGCGUAGCCGAUGCACAAACGGUUGAUAUUCCGUUACCGUCUACAAUUUAAACAAAGGGACACAUACAAAGCGUUUAACCCGGGCGAUGGUUGACCCGGGCGCAAGGGACUGAAAUAAGAGUAGGGAAGUAAAUGUGGCGUAUGGCGAGAAAAGCUUUGUGAAUAGAAGUAGACGCCCGUACCGCAAACCGACACAGGUGGACAGGAAGAGAAUUCUAAGGCCAGCGGGAGAAGGGUAGUUAAGGAACUCGGCAAAUUGACUCCGUAACUUCGGAAUAAGGAGUGCUCGAAAGAGCCGCAGAGAAUAGGCCCAGGCGACUGUUUAGCAAAAACACAGGUCUCUGCCAAAUCGAAAGAUGAAGUAUAGGGGCUGACACCUGCCCGGUGCCGGAAGGUUAAGAGGAGGAGUGCAAGCUCCGAAUUGAAGCCCCGGUAAACGGCGGCCGUAACUAUAACGGUCCUAAGGUAGCGAAAUUCCUUGUCGGGUAAGUU
rnacentral:rRNA from 1 species